UUCAACACUACCGUAAAACCUGUGAUAUGUUAGGGCGCUCCGUAUGUCAAUAACCUUUCUUUUUUGUGGGUACGUAUGGGACUGCUUCUGGGUCAGACCGCAGUCCGCCAGUUAGUGACCUCUGUAUGUCGUCACGAUCGAGCCAGCCAGAGCGAGCUUUUUAGCUCCUUAGCUCGCUAGCUAGUUAGCUCACGGGCUAGCGAACUUAAUAAAUAGUGAACUUUCCCGAAAGUGUCCCAGGUGUGUGCCUCUACGGAGCCAAAGCCGUUCUGCCAGCGGCCGGCUCCGUUGUGAGCGGCGUGCCGCGUGUUACCACAACAAUGAAAAUUUAUCGAGUCCGGAAAAAAGUAUCGUGUCCAUUAUAUUUAUGGAAUGAUAAACUGUCCUGCUCUGCCUCUGAUUGGCUGGCACCAAGACAAGACUGGCACUUUUAGUGGAUAAUGGUUGACUGAAGCGCUCCAGCAACACACACAUACAUGGGUCUGUUUACUUGAUGGGGUCUUGGAAUUUUCGCAAAAACCACAAUUGACGCAAAAGAGAGCGGUAUGGUGAGGCUCAGGGCCAGGGUCCCAAUGAGUGACGACGUGAGGAAGCAGCCCCUGUGGAAGCAAGAACAACAACCAUAAGCAAAUAAUAAGACAAGUUUGCAAAUGGCGAGGAUUUGUGAGGCCCCCACCACAGCCAGAGGAACUCUGAGAGAACUGUCCCGAUGAGGCCGUUGAUGAGGAUGUAGGUCCACACCAGCUGGCUGGGAAGCUCAAAGGCCUCAAAGCCUGUGUAGUGAAGGAGGAGGAAGCCCGGCCACAGCAGCAGAAGGUUGAACAGGCCUACAAACCCUGAGAGACACAAACAGAAACAAACAAACGGCUCAGAAGUGGACUUCAGUCAUCCACUGAUGAUUUGGAUUUUACCAAAGAACAUAGGAAUGUCGAGCUUAUCCUCCCGAUCCACCCGUCUCUUGAUCAUCACGAUGUAGAUGGCGUACAAAAUGGCCCCAGCUAGGGACCACAAGACUCACCACAAAGCAGAAAAAGAAGCUGAUCUUGGCCACGUCGGUGAUGGUAAGCUUGCCCACCGUGCCCAACAUGGCCUCGUGGUCCUUGGCGGCCGGGUAGGACAUCCGGGACAGUUUGGCCUCCAGGGCUUG